AACGUAGGACACAAGCGUUAUCCGGAAUUACUGGGCGUAAAGGGCUCGUAGGCGGCCAACUAAGUCAGACGUGAAAUCCCUCGGCUUAACCGGGGAACUGCGUCUGAUACUGGAUGGCUUGAGUUUGGGAGAGGGAUGCGGAAUUCCAGGUGUAGCGGUGAAAUGCGUAGAUAUCUGGAGGAACACCGGUGGCGAAGGCGGCAUCCUGGACCAACACUGACGCUGAGGAGCGAAAGCCAGGGGAGCAAAGCGGG
rnacentral:rRNA from 1 species